rnacentral:rRNA from 1 species
CAGCCGCCGCGGUAAUACGAGGGGGGCAAGCGUUGUUCGGAAUUAUUGGGCGUAAAGGGCGCGUAGGCGGUUUGGCAAGUUUGGUGUGAAAUCUUCGGGCUCAACUCGAAGUAUGCAUCGAAAACUGCCGGGCUUGAGUAUGGGAGAGGUGAGUGGAAUUUCCGGUGUAGCGGUGAAAUGCGUAGAUAUCGGAAGGAACACCUGUGGCGAAAGCGGCUCACUGGACCAUAACUGACGCUGAGGCGCGAAAGCUAGGGGAGCAAACAGGAUUAGAGACCCCGGUAGUCCCUGUCUCUUAUAC